GAUUUCUGACGAACCGGAGUGGCCCGUUUCCUUUCUGGGAAUGAGUGCCGCUUUGAGUUUGUCAUCCUUCCAGAGAGCUGCGUCUACCGUUCAUUCGGCCGGACGUAUGCGAUCUGGAUCUAUUACUUUGAAAAAAUUAGAGUGUUUAAAGCAGGCUUAUGCUAUGAAUACAUUAGCAUGGAAUAAUAAUAUAGGACUUUGGUUCUAUUUUGUUGGUUUCUAGGACUGAAGUAAUGAUUGAUAGGGAUAGUUGGGGGUGCUAGUAUUCAGUGGCCAGAGGUGAAAUUCUUGGAUUCACUGAAGACUAACUACUGCGAAAGCAUU
rnacentral:rRNA from 1 species